rnacentral:rRNA from 1 species
UGGGGGAUAUUGCACAAUGGAGGAAACUCUGAUGCAGCGACGCCGCGUGAGUGAAGAAGUAUUUCGGUAUGUAAAGCUCUAUCAGCAGGGAAGAUGAUGACGGUACCUGACUAAGAAGCCCCGGCUAACUACGUGCCAGCAGCCGCGGUAAUACGUAGGGGGCAAGCGUUAUCCGGAUUUACUGGGUGUAAAGGGAGCGCAGGCGGUUUGGCAAGUUGAGAGUGGAAGCAGGGGGCUCAACCCCUUGACUGCUCCCAAAACUGUUAAACUUGAGUAUGGGAGAGGCAGGCGGAAUUCCUAGUGUAGCGGUGAAAUGCUUAGAUAUUAGGAAGAACACCGGUGGCGAAGGCGGCCUGCUGGACCAAAACUGACGCUGAGGCUCGAAAGCGUGGGUAGCAAACAGGAUUAGAUACCCUGGUAGUCCACGCUGUAAACGAUGAAUACUAGGUGCUGGGAGGCAUAAGCCUUUCGGUGCCGUCGCAAACGCAUUAAGUAUUCCACCUGGGGAGUACGUUCGCAAGAAUG